GCUUACUUGAAAUUAUUCUUGUGAGAAUUAGGUAAUGAGAGUUCGUUUUCAGCUAAAAAUCGAACUCUUUUUUUAUUAAAAA
rnacentral:sRNA from 23 species